ensembl:lncRNA
GUUCCUUCAGAGGCCUGAAUUGAGACCUGUGUGCUGACGCUGCUCAUCAUCUUAAAGGUGGCCUCUAAUCCUUCAUGGGGGCAUGGUUACCAUCACUGCAGGUCCUCGUCUGCCUCUGGUUGAUUUAUGAGGAGUCCAAGAUGAAUUUGGAGCAGGAGAGGCCGUUUGUCUGCAGUGCCCCAGGCUGCUCCCAGGUGAGUGUGGGGGGUCCUCUGCUCUGCCGGCAGGGGACGCAGUACCUUCCCACAGGGAGGCACCUCUCACUUGGCCAUCAUGCCUGCUGCGGGCUUUCCUUCUUAUACCAGGAUAUUCUCACCACCGCCACCACCAUCAUUAUCAUUUUCCACUUUGAAUACUUUGAACUACUUCCCGCCCAGCCUCUGCGAUACAUUGGUGUUGGCCAUUUCCCCCCAUAACUUUCCCCGGGAAGUAAGCCAGCCGAAUCCUGCCCACCAGAUGUUCAGGAUUGAUAUUUCAGACUAGGGGAAAGAGGGUGCCUGCUUUGACAAUAGCCACUUAAAUUCUGGGCCAUUGGAUUACUGGUGAAAUAGCUCACCGGCAGAGACUGAAUUCGAUUUCGUUUUGUUUUCCCACUUGAGUAAAAUAAAACUCCUAGACUGUACUAGAACCCACAGUUUUUCCACUUAUCUUUAAGAGAUGAAGUUGGCCUACUGUGCUGGAUUAACCCUCUUUUGGCUUCCAGUGGUUCCUAUCAAGUGGAUUAGAUGUGAGACUUAGAUGAAGUUCUAUGUGCAGAGUGUUAAUAAAGGACCAGCACAUUGUGCUCAAUUAAGAUCCACUGUUGCUAUGACGACUGCGGCUAUUCGUAUAUGAGAACCCCUGUCUUUGAAAGAAAUUGGAAACAUCCAUGAUCUAAAAUCAGAGUUUGGCAUUUUCCCUUUGGAACUUGAUGGAGACUUUUUCUACCCUUGACCCUUUGGAUAUCUCCAAGUUCUAGUCAUUGGAAAAUGACUACACGUGGUGCUCUCAUGCCAAGAUCUUCGUUUUAUGGGAUAAACAGCAAGCUUAGAACUCAGAGCACAGGCAUGUGGGUAGUUAUGCUCUCCUUCUCUAAAGUGCCCAGUAGUUUCAAGUGGAAUCAGGCCCCAUAUUUUUGUCUGUUUAUAUUGUGGGGUUGGUGGCACAGCGUGGAACUAUGUCUGUGAGUCAAUGAGAGGCGAUGUCCAUUAAGGACCCUUUCAUUUUAUCUCCCCAGAGAGUGUGAGGAGGGUUCUGGAAGCUUCCUGGGGGGAAGAUGCCAUGGGAACAUGAGAUGUUACUGCCCUGUGAUGCUGCUGGUGACAUCAGACCCUGGCUAAGAAACCAGCAUCCCUUGCUUGGAUUCUAGUAGAUUCUGCAAGGGCUUUCUAUGAAUGCUGGUUUUCACUCUACAAAUAAGGAAAGCAGCGGAGAAAAUUAUUUUGAAAUUCAACUACUUAGGGCUGGUUUUGGAGGUCCCUUUGAAAUAGGAAACANNNNNNNNNNNNNNNNNNNNNNNNNNNNNNNNNNNNNNNNNNNNNNNNNNNNNNNNNNNNNNNNNNNNNNNNNNNNNNNNNNNNNNNNNNNNNNNNNNNAGGGCUGGUUUUGGAGGUCCCUUUGAAAUAGGAAACACUGGGAAGAUAUAGAUACGUUGUUGUACUGGAUAAAAUUCUGCUAGACCAUGACUCUCCAUUGUGAAUGCAGAAAGUUGCCUUAUCUAAGUUAAAACUGAUUUCCACCUAGUUUUCUUAAGGAGGAGUUUUGAUUGCCAGAAAAAAAUCCAAUAAUUUGAGUAGUUUGCUUUGCUUUGGCUGUGAAAACGUGACAUUAAGUUUUGUUCAAUUUGAGACACUCAACACACUUUCGAGGGGUCGGCUGUGUAAAUAAAACCCAUGCAUCCUGCCCCCACAGAGCUUCUAGGCUAACCAUCAUCUGUGGAACCACAGGAUCACAUCAUCAAUUAAUUAAUGAACUGCAAUUUUCCAUGAAAGGAGAGCACAGGUCACCCUGAAAAAUAUCAUAGGGGGAUUUACUUUACUUGGGGGAGGAUAAUGGGGUUUCCUUUGUGGAAGGGGCAUUUAAGGGAAAGGGAUCCUCGAGAGAUUUACCAAAGGCCAAAGAAGGUUCAUGGAGAGUUAGGGUUUCAGGAUAUUCCAGGGUUGUGAGUGAUUGUAGAGAGAGUCUUUGCGGAAGGUUUAGUUGCAUCCAGCAUUUGGAUAAGUCAGAGAGAAGAGUGCACAGUGGCUGCUGGACAGUGUGGUGGAAAUUUCCCAUUUUCGACCCUACCGACAUUUGGGGCUGAAUAAUUCUCUGUUGUGGUGGUGUUAGGGGGGCUUCCCUAUGCACUGUUGUGUCGUUGUUUCAUCGCUAAGUUGCUGCCUUUGUGAACUACUUGUUAGUGAAAGGAAGUUUCCAUUUGUCCUUGGCAUGGAAAGGCUCAAAUAAUGUCUGUGAGUGAUAACAAACUCAAUCUCGGUCACAACUCUGCCUUUGUGAUGGUGGUAACUAAGAACAUGCGCUUUUAAAGGAUUGUUGUUGUUUUAGACACUAAGUUGUAUCUGACUCUUUGCGNNNNNNNNNNNNNNNNNNNNNNNNNNNNNNNNNNNNNNNNNNNNNNNNNNNNNNNNNNNNNNNNNNNNNNNNNNNNNNNNNNNNUCAGGGGACCAUUCUGAUCCAGGGAUUAAACCCAUGGCUCCUGCUGUGUUUCCUGCAUUGUAGGCAGAUUCUUUACCCAGUGAGCCACUGGGGAGGCCCACCCUGUGCACUAUAGGAUCCUUAACAGCAUUGUUGAGCUCUACUUGUUAGAUCCCAUGAGCACUCCUCAGUUGUAACAACCAGAAAUGUUUCCAGACAUUACUAAAUGUCCCCUUGGGAGCUAAAUUGCCCCUGUUAAGAGUGACACCCCAAUGCUUUGCAUUUCGGCUUUAGUCUUGUUUCUUUUUGUAUCUGUUUCUUUUGGGGGGAUCACCUACUUCUACGUGAUGCUCUCCCUUUCUAUUUUAGGUAUUGCUACAAGCCAUCUUGUCUCCUUCUUGGAAUCAGGCAGGGUAUAAAUAAACAAAUGUUACAGACGUGUAGUCGCUGGUGUCAGAUGCUGCUAGAGCUGGGAUAGCAAGAGGCCUGAGCAGGGGCUGUUGGGUUUGGCAGUUGGGUGCCUGCCGGCGACCUAUGAGAGAGGAGUCCGGUUGGGGGCCAGAUUGGAAGGGAUUACUGAGCGAGUGGGUGGUGAGGAAGUGGAGGUGGCCAGCAUAGAGGAGUCUUUCAAGAGUGCUAGGGAGUGACGGAAAGCAGAGUGAUAUAAUGGUAGCCAGAGAAGGAAGCAGCUUGAAAAAGGUUCUUUUUAAAGUGAGGGCUCUCCAGGCUGGAUUUUGUCAAGGGCAAGGAGGAGUGAGCGUGCUGACUUGAAGGAUCACAGCUUGACUGUCCAUCCUCAGGAGACAGGGGUGUAGAGGAUCCUGUGAAGGAAAUGGGGGUGCUCAUUUCGCUGAGAGAGGAGAGAACAGAAAUAGAACCUAUGAAGUUAAUGCAGAUUCUAAGAUGAAGGUGAUAAUAAAGGUUGGAGGGGUGCAUUUCAAAUGAUCUUCAGCUUCAGUGAAAGCAGGUCAUUUCCUUGAGAAGGCUGAGUGAACUGAUGAAAUAGUUGGACAAACAUGAGAAAUGAGAAUUUGCACAGUUUCUUGGUUUUAAGGUAAAAUUUGAAGCCUCUUCUUUCAACACCCUCUAAAUUUGAAUGUGAAGAUAAACCUGUAACUUGAUGUCUCUCUUUAAUGUGGAAGUGUUUUUUCUUGACAAGCUGUUAUAAAAAUAUGAGCAUCUUUCAGUUGAAGAGAAAUUAGAGUUAAGAAUAUAUAGUUGUUGGUCAGUGAUUCCAAGGGUCUCCUGUUGGGGUGUUAGGGAAUCAGUCCAUCAUGACAUUUACUUUAGCUGCACUCCAUAGCCUGAGAAACUAACUGCAUGGAGAAGAAGGGAUGGCUGGGAAUUGGAAAUGGAAGUAAGUAUGGAUUAUGAGUGCUUGCACUGUGUUGGAGGUGAUGGAUGGAUUCCCCCACCCUUUUCCCUAAUUGGAAAGAACCUUUGCUCUAUUAGGAACAGCUUAUAAUAUCUGGGAGGUUUUUAUGUAUGUGUUAUGGCUCCUUAUAAAUUAACUGUGUCCCACAAGAGAGGAGAGACAAGUUUCUUAUGCUCUUUCUAAUCUCACAAAGUCCAAUGUUAAUUUCAGUGUUCCUUUGCUCUCUGCAUUAACCAUGUUUUAAGUUCCAUUGGCCUCUCUCAGCUCUGUGUCUGUUGCAAACUGUUCAUUUUGGCUAUUUACAAUUUGCUGCUCUUUUCCUACCAAACUUAAAAAAAAAUUCAAGAUGUCCUAUAUUGUCUCUUUUGGAACAUUAUUAUAGUUAAUAUGAGAUAUUAUGGAAAGGCUCAAAUGAUAAAGAAUCUGCCUACAAUUCAGGAGACCUGGGUUCCAUCCCUGGGUUGGGAAAAUCCCCUGGAGAAAGGAAUAGCUACCUACUUCAGUAUUGUGUCUGGAGAAUUCUAUGGAAUGAGGGGCCUGGUGGGCUACAAUCCAUGGGGUUGUAAAGAGUCAGAUACAACUGAGCCACUAACACUUUAACUUUC